rnacentral:lncRNA from 1 species
AGCAAGUUGGUCAGAGAACCAGCACACACAGAGGAAAGGCCAUGUGAGGACAUGGCAAGAAGGCAAUCCUCUACAAGCCAGGAGGAGAGCCCUCGCCAGAAACCAACCCUGACAGCACCUUCAUCUUGGACAUCCAGCCUCCAGAUCUGAUCACAGCUCGAUCCGCCAUAAGCCUCUGUGCCCAGAGGGCGUGUCCUGUGUCCCAGGGCUUCUUCGGCACUGCUGCUCUCAGAUCCUGCUGUCCUGGAUCCUUCCUGUUUGAGGAGAGCAGCACAUGGAAGACAAACCCAGCACUCACUUCUGCUGAAGCUGAUUGGGUCACAGAAUCUUCUCUGUCGUUUCUCAAGGGUCCCUCUUCAAUUACAGGAGUUGUUGAAAAGGACAACAGGAGUAAACCAUCACAGUGAUUUACAAAAGCUAACGCAAUUUUCGUCCUGAAACAUGAACAGAAGUGUUACAAGAUACAGAAAAAGCUGCCCCACCUUGCCCCCAUAUCAUCAUUGUCUUACUAAUAAAAGCUGUGACCAGGG